GGGGUUGUAGCUCAGUGGUUGAGCACUUGUCUAGCACUUAUGAGGCACUGGGUUCAACCCUCAGCACCACA
rnacentral:tRNA from 1 species